GUAAUGUCUGGGAAACGGCUCGAUGGAGGGGGAGGAAUACUGGAAACGGUAGCUAAUACCGCAUAACGUCGCAAGACCAAAGAGGGGGACCUUCGGGCCUCUUGCCAUCGGAUGUGCCCAGAUGGGAUUAGCUAGUAGGUGGGGUAACGGCUCACCUAGGCGACGAUCCCUAGCUGGUCUGAGAGGAUGACCAGCCACACUGGAACUGAGACACGGUCCAG
rnacentral:rRNA from 1 species